UACGUAGGGAGCAAGCGUUGUUCGGAUUUACUGGGCGUAAAGGGCGCGUAGGCGGCAGAUCAAGUCAGCUGUGAAAUCUCCGAGCUUAACUCGGAACCGUCAGCUGAUACUGUUUUGCUAGAGUGCGGAAGGGGCAAUCGGAAUUCUUGGUGUAGCGGUGAAAUGCGUAGAUAUCAAGAGGAACACCUGAGGUGAAGACGGGUUGCUGGGCCGACACUGACGCUGAGUGCGCGAAAGCCAGGGGAGCAAACGGG
rnacentral:rRNA from 1 species